rnacentral:snRNA from 1 species
AAAUGCGGGGGCUCUCUGGCUGUGGCAUAUUAUCCCACCCACCUCCAGGGUUAAUUUGGCCGAUCUGGCUAGCCAAAUGGAUGUUCUCUUCUUCCCUUGCAGCUCCAUGUAGAGCCCCUCUGAAACAGAGAGUUCAGCUAAAGUGGGUGAUCUUCAAAUGGAGGAGGACCAUCUUCUGUCAAGGGUAUGAAAAGUUACACUCCUCCUCUCGAGCCUCCAAACAAGCUCUCAGAUGUAUGAGAUGAAUUUUAGAAGCUUAAUUAGUUGAUAGAUAAUAAUUUUACAUAUUUAUGGGUCAUGGUGAUAGUUCAAUAUGUGUAUUCAG